UCAGCAGUCGGCCAGUCGGUCGGACUGUCGCCGCGUCACAUUUUAGUGCUUUGCGUGUACCAGACUUGAACGCAACGCCGCCCGCUGCCUUCCCAGCUCGUUGUCGCCCACCAACCACUACAACACAAAAAUAAAAACAAAAACAAUAACAAUACCGAAAGAGCAGCUAAGAAACCCGAACGAAUGUGGGAACGAGCGUGCGAGCCGACGAGGUUCUUAUUAGAUUUGAUAUUUUGUUGUUGUUUUUGCCGAGCUUAGAACGCAGGCAGCAGGCAGCACAAUAACAACAGCAAUAACAAUAACAAACAACAACAACAAACGUUCGGGCGCGCCUUUGCUUUUGCUUUUUCGCUCGUUUCGCAGUCUCUUCGUUCCGUUUCGUUUCUGUUCUUUUGGCUCUCGCAUUAGAACGAACGAGCGCAAACGAACGGCGCACGGCGUGCCGCUGCCGCUGCCGCUGCUGGCGUCGCUGCCACUGCGACUGCCGACGACGCGUCGUCGACUGACUUAUUGGCUUUAAGCGAAUUUGAAAUUCGCUCGAACUUUUAUUCAACGUGUUGGUUUCGUCGCGUGAGCAACUCUGAAACUGAAAACAAUAAAGAAAAUCAACAAAACUUGCAAAGAGCCCCCGAAAACAAAACUAAAAAAAACACUGAAUUGAGUUUUUUACGCCCGUACACACCUACACACACCAAUACCAAUACCAAUACCAACCUACUCGUAUCCGUAUUCGCACCCGUAACGGUAACCGUAACGCUAUUCGUAUCGUGAGUUCCGUUAGUGUUUCAAAAAUACGAGUAUAUUUAUUUAUUUUUUUUUAUUGGGAUUGUUGGUUUCGUAUCGCGCGCGUCGCAGCUUCCAAUCAAUAAAUAUAUAUAUAUUUAUACAUAUAUAGUUAUAUCCGAUAUAUGUGUAUAUAUCUGGCUGAUCGUACUAUUUUUUUAAAGUGUUAUAUACCCCCCCAAAGUGCUACCAAAAUGCCUUAUAACAGCGUCACGCUUUAGUGUCACAAGUGCAACUUAUAUAGCAGAGUUAUUCGAGUCCCCAGGGACCCUUGCACUAAGAGAGAAAGAAAGAGAGUUAUAUACUUACAUAUAUAUAUAUAAAGCUCGUAACAGGUGCUGGAGUGCAGUGUUGGUUAACAGUCCAACCAGUCAACAACAGACAAUCAACAACAACAACAACUAUAACUGCAACUAUAACUACAACCACAACAACAAGAAUCUUCUUCUUCAUAAUCUUCAUCCGGUUCUUCAGCAACACAUUUAACAGCCAAAACGUUGCUGCAUUUUAUGAGCAAGCGUGCGGUUCGUCGUCGUCGUCGUCGUUGUCGUCGUUGAUGUCUCGGAUGUCGUUGUUGAUGUGGAUGUGGAUGUCGACCGGUGCCGGUGGCCAAAACAUUCAGUCGAAUUCAACGCUGUGAGCAACACACGCUGGAAGCGCCGAUGGAACCGCGUCGCGACGCAGCGGCAACGGCAGCAGCGGCAGCGACAACAACAGCAACAACAGCAACAGCAGCAACAAAAUUAUUUAU